UGUUAAAAAUUUUAUCUAUUUUUACUAUUAAAACUGGUGUGGCUAAUAAAAUAACCAAACAGUUACAUAUGGUGUGCCAUGUGUACCUCAUUCUAGCAUACAGGGACCAGUUUUUAAAAGAAGAAUCAAUUUACUCUUUGAUC
rfam:Gossypium hirsutum cultivar TM-1 unplaced genomic scaffold scaffold1428.1, whole genome shotgun sequence